AAGUCGUAACAAGGUCUCCGUAGGUGAACCUGCGGAGGGAUCAUUAACACGUAUCCUACGUAUAUACCAACCGUGAACUUGUUCUCCUGCUUUGAUUGGUAAAGUUUUGAGUGAAGUUGGCGUGAUAAUCUGAGCUAACUUCUCUCUCUGAGUAUUUUACUCGGGGCUUGCUGAUUAAGGCGUAUCUGUUUCCUUAUCACGAAACAAUUGUUUAAUUUAUUAACUAUUUGUACUUCUUUUGUACUAAACACAUGCGACUUUAGUUGUUAAUGGCUUCGGCUAUUAUCUAACUACUGUUGUGUAAUUACGAAACGCUAAACAACUCUUAGCAACGGAUAUCUUGGUUCUG
rnacentral:misc_RNA from 1 species